CGGCGCGAUUCAGUCUCAAAUUCUCAGAUUUAUUAAGAAACUGAGGUUAAGAUUAGAUAACCUAUUUUUAAAUAAAUUAAUAAAUUAUUCUCGAUAAGAUAGUUCAGGCCACGUGUGUUCAUUAGAUUUGACAUUAUUUCAGAAUUUGUUAGACAAAGAACAUUAAGAUAACCUAUUUAAAUAAAUUAAUAAUUAUCGAUAAGCAAAUUCAGAAUUUCUCACCCAAAAUCACUUAUCUUUACUUAAAGUGAUGAUAUACCUCAUCCGACAAGACCUUCAACUCAACAACGCUGCAAAUAACAAAACUGACGGGUCCCCCACUCCGAGAACGAUGGUGACCAUGACUCUCCCCAAGGGUCAGCUUCCCUGUCCCCUUUCCAAAAUUGCAUUCAUCAAUAAAUUCAAACUCCCGAAGGAUUCCGUUAUCAAACUCCAGUAUAAAGGGAAGCUCAUCCCUUGGUGCAUGGUAGAAAAGUGCGACUUGGUCAAAAUUACGGUGUGUCGACCACAUCAAAACGUAAAACCCGAAAUUUUGGAGGGCCCUUCCAACACGGACAUUUUAAUGCGGAAAAAAAUGGCCGACCUGGGAAUCAGGCUUGCAUCCCUCGAAGCCGUCGCCGACCCGGCCACCAUAUCAGCCAAGACGGACCGGGACCUUCAACUUUUGACCAAACAGAUAUCAUUCUUAGGGAACCGAGUGGCCGAAGCGGAUCACGCCGAGUGGAUCAAGAAGACCUAAUUUAUAACUAGUUUAACUCGUAGGCAUCGAAGACGUAUCACCAAAGUUUCAUCAAGUCCUAAAUUACAUGUGCACAUUUCCCUGUAAAUUUUGUAUCGUUUUGUUAUAUAUCAUCAAGUUUUCUUUUUAUUGUUGUUGAACAACAUCAUCAUCUAUGCAUAACAAAUUUAAACAUAUUUAAUAAGGCAAUAAAUUUGAAUGUUUUGCUUGUAAAGACAAA